rnacentral:rRNA from 1 species
UGGGGAAUAUUGCACAAUGGGGGGAAUCCUGAUGCAGCAACGCCGCGUGAAGGAAGAAGUAAUUCGUUAUGUAAACUUCUAUCGACAGGGAAGAAAGAAAUGACGGUACCUGAAUAAGAAGCCCCGGCUAAUUACGUGCCAGCAGCCGCGGUAAUACGUAAGGGGCAAGCGUUAUCCGGAUUUACUGGGUGUAAAGGGUGAGUAGGCGGCGAUGCAAGUCAUAUGUGAAAUUCCGGGGCUUAACCCCGGAGCUGCAUAAGAAACUGCGUUGCUUGAGUGCAGGAGAGGCAAGCGGAAUUCCUA